UACGGGUGUGGCAAGCGUUGUUCGGAAUUACUGGGCGUAAAGGGCUCGUAUGCGGCCAACUAAGUCGGAUGUGAAAUCCCCAGGCUUAACCUGGGAACUGCAUCCGAUACUGGAUGGCUUGAAUUCGGGAGAGGGAUGCAGAAUUCCAGGUGUAGCGGUGAAAUGCGUAGAUAUCUGGAGGAAUACCGGUGGCGAAGGCGGCAUCCUGGACCGAGAUUGACGCUGAUGAGCGAAAGCUAGGGGAGCAAACGGG
rnacentral:rRNA from 1 species